rnacentral:rRNA from 1 species
GACAGAGGUGCCGAGCGUUAGGCGGAAUCACUGGGCUUAAAGCGUGUGUAGGCGGGUCGUUAAGUGCCUUGUGAAAUCCCACCGCUCACCGGUGGAACUGCUUGGCAUACUGGCGGUCUUGAGCCACUUAGGGGCAACCGGAACAAACGGUGGAGCGGUGAAAUGCGUAGAUAUCGGGAGGAACACCAGUGGCGAAGGCGACUACCUGGCCUGUUCUUGACGCUGAGGCGCGAAAGCGUGGGGAGCAAACAGG